CUGCUUUCCUAGUCUGAAUCCUUUUGAGAAGGGGAGGAUUAACUGAGGGGAAGAGGAAACCUUGAAUAAACUGCUUUGCAGCAGCCACCACGGCCCCUGGCUCUUUUUCUAAUUCCUUAUACUUGCCUUUAGGCUUGCUUGUUCCUUUAGGUCUUUACUGCAUCAUUCCAGAGAGACCUUCUGUGCCAUACGCUACAGUUCCACCCCCUCUUAUGCCGCUUAGCACUCACCAUUGCCCAACAUAGGAGCUGUUUUAUGUCUUCCUCUUGAUUCUCACUGUUUCCUGCUUUGGAGCAUAAGCUGGACAGAGGCAAAGUUUUCAGGUUGGCCAUCCUGGUGCACUGGGAGAGAAGUGAAGGAUGGGAGAUUUGUUAGACUCAUCUGGCAAAUUCCUUUUACGUUUUACAUUCUCCGCAACUACGAGUUUGUUCAGAGCAAGUAUUGAGCGUCAAUUCCACGCAAGGUAUUAUUUUGGACUCUUGGGGUUAUCCAGAAUACCAUCGGAGCUCCUCUGGAACAUGUCCUUGUCUUCUCAGAGUGUGAAGUGUGUGUGUGACAGUGCUUUUCUGAGGACUCAGGUGACCUGGAGGCUGGAGAACAGCAUGGAGCAAGGAAAACAAAGACGAUGUGCUGGAGUGUAUGUUGCUUUCAUAAUUAUGUGAAAGAAAAUGUAGAGAAAUUUGAAAGGAGAACUGGUUAUCAGUAGUGCCAUCCUGCUCAAAUAUCUUCAAAUACACACCACCAUCCAUGUGUGGGUUGAUUAAGGAGCUGACGUUCAUUAGAUCUGCAGUCUCCUGACCUGAUGUGCAUCAGAAUCACUGGGAGAACAAACAAACAAAAAUGAAUCCAAAACAAGCAACGAACAGACAGAUUCUCAAGUCUUGCCAAGUCCAAAGAUUGAUUUGGUGGAGAAAUUGUACUUUGAAAGCUGCCCAGGCCUUCAUGAAUGCCACAGUGGAUCUACUCUGCCCUCCUCUUGCCAUCAUCACCCUCCCCAGGAGCUGGAAAUCAUGAGCUUUAUUUCAAGAUCCAGCCAUGUGAUUAUAGAUGGCUGUGUGGUCUUGGAGCUUCAGUCUCAUCAUCUGCAAAGUGGGGACGAUGCUUUCCUAUACAUUUUACAGAACUGUCUGGUUCAAACAAAACAACGUGUGUAAAAGGUCUUAUUUAAUUACUUAUCAAAGGUUAGUGCACUAUAGAAAUGUGAGAGGCUUCAGUUAGACCCAGCAGUUUCUUAGAAGUUCAAAGAGUUACAUAAUUAAAAGUUGGUUAAUAAAUGAUUAAUUUGGCAAAAUAUUUGAGGUAGUGUUUUACUUUCCCAAAGUGAUCACAUUGAUUAUUUCUGUUUUCUCCUCAUAAUAACAGGAUUGGCCAUGCAGUAAGGUGGUACAGGCAUAAUAUUCAUUUUCUUUUUUUGUUUUUAACUAGCUAGUAAAAGGUAAGAAAACAUUUAUUGGAGCAUGUGCACCUGGUGUCAAUUUUUUCUCCCAACAUUAUAUUAUGAAGUUUUCAAAUAAGUAGAAAAGUUGAAUGAAAGACUCUCUACCAAGAUCACCUACAAACCCAACCCACCAUCUAAAUCCUACCGUUAGCAUUUUACUACUUGAUUUAUUGCCAAUCUGCCCAUAUAUCUAUCCUUCCAUCCAUUCAUUAAUCCUUCUUACUUUUGGGAUACAUUUCAAGGUUACUUGCAGGCAUCAGUAAACUUUCCCUUAACUGGUGAAACAGCAUGGAUAUCAUUAACUGGAAUUUGACAUCUUCUUAGAGUACUUUUUUUUCUUGUUUAUGUAAAUGGGGUCUAAUUUAAUGUUAUAAAAAUUAUGGCAGAGUUUGCUAUUUUGUGUGUGUGC
rnacentral:lncRNA from 1 species